GUUGAUUAAGGAAUUAUUGAGAUUAAUUAGUAUUCCUUGACAUCCCCACAUUUAAAUGUACAGUGGCUUGAGACAAUUUCAUGCUCAUUUACCAAAAGGCUUUUACUUCCUAAAUACUUUAACUAAAUUCACCAGUUCUCACUAUGUUGCCACUCUGUAAUUCUUAAAUUCUAUACUGUGGUGGCUAUUUUUUUCUUUAGAAUAUUGUUCUUCUAGGUUGAAUUGUCUUCAAAUGCCAAUUAGUAUUCCGAUUAUCAUAAGGCUUUUCACUUUUUUCCACAUUUGUUAAAAAUCAUUAGCUCUUGGGAGGAUAUUAAAGAGCAUUUGUUAGAUACAAGGAGUAUGUGCAUUGGUAAUUUGAUUUCGUUGGUUGAAAAGGAAAAGGCAAAAUGUAAAGUUAAAAGUGGACAAACUUUAUGAAUACUGUCAAGUCAGGAACACCUAUUCAAAUCAUUAAAAGCAAAAACCUUAGAAUAUUUGGAAUGAGAACUAAAACUUGAAAGUUCUGAAUUCCUGUACUCAUAAUUUUAAAAAAAAAAAGAUGAUGAUACAUUGAAAAAUUAGGAAUUUCAAUCUGGCCUUUUUGUUUAAUG
rnacentral:lncRNA from 1 species